UCAGGAUGAACGCUAGCUACAGGCUUAACACAUGCAAGUCAGGGGCAGCAUAGCGGAAGCUUGCUUCUGCUGGAUGGCGACCGGCGCACGGGUGAGUAACGCGUAUCCAACCUUCCCUACAGUAGGGGAUAGCCCGGCGAAAGUCGGAUUAAUACCCUAUGUUCUUCUUCGAUGGCAUCUGAGGAGAAGCAAAGGUUCACCGCUAUAGGAUGGGGAUGCGUCUGAUUAGCUUGUUGGCGGGGUAACGGCCCACCAAGGCUACGAUCAGUAGGGGUUCUGAGAGGAAGGUCCCCCACAUUGGUACUGAGACACGGACCAAACUCCUACGGGAGGCAGCAGUGAGGAAUAUUGGUCAAUGGGCGAGAGCCUGAACCAGCCAAGUAGCGUGCAGGAAUGACUGCCCUAUGGGUUGUAAACUGCUUUUAUGCGGGAAUAAAGUCGGGCACGUGUGCCUGUUUGUAUGUACCGCAUGAAUAAGGACCGGCUAAUUCCGUGCCAGCAGCGGC
rnacentral:rRNA from 1 species